UACGGAGGGGGCUAGCGUUGUUCGGAAUUACUGGGCGUAAAGCGCACGUAGGCGGCUUUGUAAGUUAGAGGUGAAAGCCCGGGGCUCAACUCCGGAAUUGCCUUUAAGACUGCAUCGCUUGAAUCCAGGAGAGGUGAGUGGAAUUCCGAGUGUAGAGGUGAAAUUCGUAGAUAUUCGGAAGAACACCAGUGGCGAAGGCGGCUCACUGGACUGGUAUUGACGCUGAGGUGCGAAAGCGUGGGGAGCAAACAGG
rnacentral:rRNA from 1 species